rnacentral:rRNA from 1 species
AGAGUUUGAUCCUGGCUCAGGAUGAACGCUGGCGGCGUGCCUAACACAUGCAAGUCGAACGGGAAUAGGAUGAAACCUAGUGAUUCCUAUUCUAGUGGCGGACGGGUGAGUAACGCGUGGGUAACCUGCCUUGCACUGGGGGAUAACACUUAGAAAUAGGUGCUAAUACCGCAUAAGCGCACAGAACCGCAUGGUUCGGUGUGAAAAACUCCGGUGGUGUAAGAUGGACCCGCGUCUGAUUAGCUGGUUGGCGAGGUAACGGCUCACCAAGGCGACGAUCAGUAGCCGGCCUGAGAGGGUGAACGGCCACAUUGGGACUGAGACACGGCCCAAACUCCUACGGGAGGCAGCAGUGGGGAAUAUUGCACAAUGGGGGAAACCCUGAUGCAGCAACGCCGCGUGAGUGAAGAAGUCAUUCGUGAUGUAAAGCUCUAUCAGCAGGGAAGAAAAUGACGGUACCUGACUAAGAAGCCCCGGCUAACUACGUG